GACAAUUUGACCACUGUGCAGUUCCCUAUAUAAGGGAAGUGAGAAAGUUAGUGGACAUCAGUGUUUCUCCUGCCUGCACCGGUCAAGUCACGAAUCAUGAACAAGUUUGUCUCCCUUCUUGCCGCCCUAGCUCUACUUGGCUGUGUAUCCGCACAGACAUUCGGCGCCUUCACCCCCGGAGGUCUGGCUUCCCUGGCGCUCCUCCCCCCACUCAUCAACCAGCUGGCUAUGCCCGUCAGACCUCCUCCACCACCACCAGCAUUCUACGGAGGAUUCGGAUACCUCCCACCCACCAUUAUUGAGCGCAGGGUCAGGUACCACCCCGGCAAAUAUUAAUGAUCUAACGACAUCCUGUCAAAGGCCUUCAAAUCAUUGAUCACGGUAUGUGACAAAGGUUGAUAUGGAUAAUAUAUGGACGAGACAGACAUGCGCGAAUAUGAUGGACAUUCUUGGGGCUAUCAAAUACACGCAGAUCAAGAAACAGAUCGGAUGUACUUGUCUGUAACUGUUAUUUUUCACUAAUAAAUAAUGUCAAAAA